AAAAAAAGUGCCGGUCUGAUCAAAAACUGGCAGAGGAUCUUUUUAUUCAGUUUUCAUUAUAUAACACCAUCCCACAGUCCGUGUGCGCGAAUUUUGAAACACCCUGUAUAUUAAAAUAAACCAUAUCACCUGGAUACUACAAAGAAGUUAAACCGAGUUUGAGAAACACCAUGUAAUGCUCAAAAGGUUUAAGAUAGCUAAAUUCUCUGCACCGCCCAUUUUCUAGUAAAAUUUAUUUAAUUAUUUAUUACGAGCCCCAACACAUAAAUGUUCGGACAGCUAGCAUUUUUAAAAUAAAACCGAAAAAAAAAUAAAACCAGUCCAAUGUCAAUAAAGCCGCAGAUAUGUUAUAUAGAAAUAUGUAUUAUAAGUUUAUUGUUUAUGUUAAAUACCAAAAAACAAUUUUUUUUAAUGCUCUCACAACAUGAAAAUGGGAAAACCAGCGAAAUUAACUGACACAUAAAUGUUCGGACACCACAUAUAUUUGAUAGUUUGAUCUAGGUAACAGGAUAAAAACCAAAAAAAUGAUAAUUUUUAUAACUUGUCAGCACACUUUGACAUUUUGUUAAAAGAAAAAUGGCACAUGGCAAAGCAACACCGAAGGAAAUUCGACAAUUAAUAGUAAAAUGGGUUCAUAAGGGAAAAUCCUUUAGGGCAAUAGGUCAGGAAUUCAAUUUGCCCAUGUCCACGGUGGUAGCGUCACAGCAUCAAUCGAAGUUGAAGGAAACAACACAGGAAGACGGCCAACAGUUACCCCUAGAAUGCAGAAAGCGCUGAUAACCAUUUGCAAAUCUGGACGAAGAGACACAGUACGGAAUAUUACGGUAAAAUGGAACAAAGUAACAAAUGCUCAUCUUUCUACCUAAACCUGUCGAAGGUGGAUCCACAAAUCAAGUUUACAUUUUUAUAAAGCGAAAGAAAAACAUCUUUAAAACACAAAAAUAAUAAAGAAGGGGUUGGAUUGUGUUCGGGAACGGCCGGCGUGGUCUUACCAAGACUGGUAAAAAUCAUUUUUAGUAUUGAAUCUCGAUUUGAUAUCACUGUAGGCGAUAAUCGAGAAAGAGUUACCAGAACGGAAAACAAAGCGUUUCACAAAGAUUGCUUAAAGCGUUCUGUAAAAUUCCCCAGUGGUGUACCGGUGUGGGGCAGUAUGUCUGCAAAUGGGCUGGGACAAUUGCACUUACAAAUGGUAAUGUUUAUGCUCAGAAAUAUCAAGCAAUUUUAGAA